GACUGACUGAGAGAUUCAGUUGUGUUGUGUAUGAGGGCUGUUGAUGUAGUUCUGCAAAGCUCAUUGAGGAAGUCAUUAUUUACACAAUGUCUCUCUGUUUGUUCCUGCUUCUACUGGCAUUCAUUGGUGCCAGUAUACAAGACAGUAUUGCUCCAACAUCCCCCGUAGUUAUUGCAAAGGAGAACGAAAAAGUUACUAUUUCUUGUAAAUACCAGUACACUGUAUCAAUGAAUAACCUGCAGUGGUAUCGUCAGUAUCCCAACACUGUGCCAGAAUUCCUUGUUCUAAUCAUGGAGUCGGGACAAAAUCAGACUGCAACAGUUCCUAACCCUCGACUGAAAGCCUCAGUUCUAAAAAACAACAGGACAGUGUAUCUGGAAAUCUUCCCUGCAGACGUGAAGGAUUCUGCAUUGUAUUACUGUGCACUGCAGCCCACAGUGACAGGAAACCGAGUUUCACCAUACAAAAACCUGCUCAGAGCUAAAUUAUGCUAUAGAUGCUAAAGAAACUUGGGUAACACUUUACAACAAGAUUGUAUUCGUUAACAUUAAUUACACAUUAGUUAACAUGAACACUCCUUUAACAGCAUUUUGUUAUCUUGAUUAAUUUUAACAGUUCUACAUAUACUAAUAUAUUUUGUUACAUUAAAAGUUGUAUAUGUUAAAAUUAGUUAAUGCAAUUUGAACUAAUAUUUACUAACAAAGAACAAUAGUAAUUUGAUACAUGACUAUUAACCAAGAUGAAUAAUACUGUAAAAAGUCAUUGUUAGUUCAUGAUAUCUAAUGUAUUUACUAAUGUUAUGAAGACAACCUCAUUGUAAAGUGUUAAUGAAUUUUUCCCCCUCAUCACAGACAGAAAAUCUCAUGUUAAGUGAAAAUGGAAACAACUGCCCUGAAAAUUAUUUGACAGAAUUCAAAUAAAUCAAACUGUGAAUGUCAUCCAUAAAAUCAGACAAAAGCAGCAAAUAGGGCAUUUCUUGACUGUACGUACAGUAGAUGCUGGAAACAAUACUCAUAUAUCAUUAUCUCAGAUGACUUAAACACAUUCCAAUCACCAUCACAAUAAUUACUGAUUAUACUAUGUAGCUAUUUACAUCUGCA